rnacentral:rRNA from 1 species
AGGAAGGUGGGGAUGACGUCAAAUCAUCAUGCCCCUUAUGACCUGGGCUACACACGUGCUACAAUGGGCGGUACAAAGGGUCGCGAACCCGCAGGGGGAGCCAAUCCCAAAAAAGCCCGCUCUCAGUUCGGAUUGCAGGCUGCAACUCGCCUGCAUGAAGCCGGAAUCGCUAGUAAUCGCGGAUCAGCAUGCCGCGGUGAAUACGUUCCCGGGCCUU